rnacentral:misc_RNA from 1 species
GUAGGUGAACAUCUCUUCCAGGUUCACCAGAAUAGAAAGUCUGUAUUAGCAGGCAACAUCUCCACUGUGCUGGGAUUUACAUUUGUAAUACCAGCAGCCUAGCAAUAGGCCCACAGGUCAAAUGGAGGUGGCCCAGGUAGGGUUAAGAUAUGAUCGGGAGGCUGCUAGAAAUUGCAGCUAUACUUCUGCUGCGGAAGGAUCAUUACAGAGAAAUUGCCCUUUGGGGUAGAUCUCCCACCCUUUGUUUACA